rnacentral:rRNA from 1 species
CAGUCGCCGCGGGAAUACGUAGGUGGCAAGCGUUGUCCGGAAUUAUUGGGCGUAAAGGGCUCGCAGGCGGUUUCUUAGGUCUGAUGUGAAAGCCCCCGGCUCAACCGGGGAGGGUCAUUGGAAGCUGGGAAACUUGAGUGCAGAAGAGGAGGGUGGAAUUCCACGUGUAGCGGUGAAAUGCGUAGAGAUGUGGAGGAACACCAGUGGCGAAGGCGACUCUCUAGUCUGUAACUGACGCUGAGGAGCGAAAGCGUGGGGAGCGAACAGGAUUAGAUACCCCAGUAGUCCCUGUCUCUUAUAC